GAUAAGAUGGCUGAGAUUAGAGGCGUUAGAUUGUAAAUCUAAAUAGAAGUUGGACUUUCUUGUCA
rnacentral:tRNA from 1 species